rnacentral:guide_RNA from 1 species
AUCAUUACCAACAGAAUAGAGACUGAGUAGAUUAAGGUAUUA